UUGAGCAAUGCGCAUGUGCGG
rnacentral:miRNA from 2 species